rnacentral:tRNA from 1 species
CAAAUUAUAGCCUAAGAGGUACUAUUAUUUACAUUAAUAUGUGUAGUUGUGCAAUUCAACUUAAUUUGA